AUACUUACCUGGCAGGAGAGAUACUAUAGUCACAAAGGUGGUUUUCCCAGGGCGAGGCUCACCCAUUGCACUCCGGAUAUGCCCACCCCAAACGUGGGAACCUCAACUGCAUAAUUUGUGGUGGUGGGGGACUGAGUUUGUGCUCUCCCCUA
rnacentral:snRNA from 1 species